CCUACGGGAGGCAGCAGUGAGGAAUAUUGGUCAAUGGGCGGAAGCCUGAACCAGCCAAGUAGCGUGCAGGAUGACGGCCCUACGGGUUGUAAACUGCUUUUAUACGGGAAUAACGCGCCUUACGUGUAGGGCUUUGCAUGUACUGUAUGAAUAAGGACCGGCUAAUUCCGUGCCAGCAGCCGCGGUAAUACGGAAGGUCCGGGCGUUAUCCGGAUUUAUUGGGUUUAAAGGGAGCGUAGGUCGCUUGUCAAGUGAGCUGUGAAAUGUCUCGGCUCAACCCGGGCCUUGCAGUGCGUACUGGCAUGCUUGAGUCCGCGGAAGGCAGGCGGAAUUCGUCGUGUAGCGGUGAAAUGCUUAGAUAUGACGAAGAACCCCGAUUGCGAAGGCAGCUUGCUGCAGCGGAACUGACGCUGAUGCUCGAAAGCGCGGGUAUCGAACAGGAUUAGAUACCCUUGUAGUC
rnacentral:rRNA from 1 species